UACGUAGGGGGCAAGCGUUAUCCGGAUUUACUGGGUGUAAAGGGAGCGUAGACGGCAGGGCAAGUCUGGAGUGAAAGCCCGGGGCUCAACUCCGGGACUGCUUUUGAAACUGUGUGACUGGAGUGCAGGAGAGGUAAGCGGAAUUCCUAGUGUAGCGGUGAAAUGCGUAGAUAUUAGGAGGAACACCAGUGGCGAAGGCAGCUUACCAAGCUACUUCUGACGUUGAGGCACGAAAGCGUGGGGAGCAAACAGG
rnacentral:rRNA from 1 species